CAGUAGCCACGGGAAUACGGGGGGUGCAAGCGUUAAUCGGAAUUACUGGGCGUAAAGCGUGCGUAGGCGGUUUGUUAAGUCUGUUGUGAAAGCCCCGGGCUCAACCUGGGAAUGGCAAUGGAUACUGGCGAGCUAGAGUGUGUCAGAGGAUGGUGGAAUUCCCGGUGUAGCGGUGAAAUGCGUAGAGAUCGGGAGGAACAUCAGUGGCGAAGGCGGCCAUCUGGGACAACACUGACGCUGAGGCACGAAAGCGUGGGGAGCAAACAGGAUUAGAUACCCCUGUAGUCCCUGUCUCUUAUAC
rnacentral:rRNA from 1 species